rnacentral:rRNA from 1 species
UACAGAGGGUGCAAGCGUUAAUCGGAAUUACUGGGCGUAAAGCGUGCGUAGACGGUUAUGUAAGUCAGAUGUGAAAGCCCCGGGCUCAGCCCGGGAAGGGCGCUCGAAACGGCGCGGCUCGAGUGCCGGAGGGGAGAGUGGAAUUCCUGGUGUAGCGGUGAAAUGCGUAGAUAUCAGGAGGAAUACCGGUGGCGAAAGCGACUCUCUGGACGGCAACUGACGCUGAGGCACGAAAGCGUGGGGAGCAAACAGG